rnacentral:rRNA from 1 species
GACGUAGGGCGCGAGCGUUGUCCGGAUUUAUUGGGCGUAAAGAGCUCGUAGGCGGCUUGUCGCGUCGUCCGUGAAAACUUGGGGCUCAACCCCAAGCUUGCGGUCGAUACGGGCAGGCUAGAGUUCGGUAGGGGAGACUGGAAUUCCUGGUGUAGCGGUGAAAUGCGCAAAUAUCAGGAGGAACACCGGUGGCGAAGGCGGGUCUCUGGGCCGAUACUGACGCUGAGGAGCGAAAGCGUGGGGAGCGAACAGG